UAUUAAAGGUCUAUUCCCAAUCUGUUGGU
rnacentral:piRNA from 1 species